rnacentral:rRNA from 1 species
UACGAAGGGGGCUAGCGUUGUUCGGAAUUACUGGGCGUAAAGCGCGCGCAGGCGGCUAUCCAAGUCAGUGGUGAAAGCCCGGAGCUUAACUCCGGAACUGCCAUUGAAACUGUUUAGCUUGAGGACGAGAGAGGUGAGUGGAAUUCCCAGUGUAGAGGUGAAAUUCGUAGAUAUUGGGAAGAACACCGGUGGCGAAGGCGGCUCACUGGCUCGUAUCUGACGCUCAGGCGCGACAGCGUGGGGAUCAAACAGG